rnacentral:rRNA from 1 species
GGAAUAUUGGUCAAUGGACGCAAGUCUGAACCAGCCAUGCCGCGUGAAGGAUGACGGCCUUCUGGGUUGUAAACUUCUUUUAUUGGGGAAGAAAAUUACGGUUUCUACUGUAACCGACGGUACCCAACGACUACGCACCGGCCAACUCCGUGCCAGCAGCCGCGGUAAUACGGAGGGUGCAAGCGUUAUCCGGAUUUACUGGGUUUAAAGGGUGUGUAGGCGGGCAGUUAAGUCAGUGGUGAAAUCUCCGGGCUCAACCCGGAAACUGCCAUUGAUACUAUUUGUCUUGAAUAUCGUUGAGGUAGGCGGAAUAUGUCAUGUAGCGGUGAAAUGCAUAGAGAUGACAUAGAACACCAAUUGCGAAGGCAGCUUACUAAACGAUAAUUGACGCUGAGGCACGAAAGCGUGGGGAGCAAA